AGAACGAACGCUGGCGGCAGGCUUAACACAUGCAAGUCGAACGCGUGUAGCAAUACACGAGUGGCGCACGGGUGAGUAACGCGUGGAUAUCUGCCUUUUGGUUCGGAAUAACCCCGGGAAACUGGGGCUAAUACCGGAUGGUUCCUACGGGAUAAAGAUUUAUCGCCAAAAGAUGAGUCCGCGUCCGAUUAGCUAGUUGGUGGGGUAAUGGCCUACCAAGGCGACGAUCGGUAGCUGGUCUGAGAGGACGAUCAGCCACACUGGGACUGAGACACGGCCCAGACUCCUACGGGAGGCAGCAGUGGGGAAUAUUGGACAAUGGGGGCAACCCUGAUCCAGCCAUGCCGCGUGAGUGAUGAAGGCCUUCGGGUUGUAAAGCUCUUUUGGCGGGGUACGAUGAUGACGGUACCCGCAGAAUAAGCCCCGGCUAACUUCGUGCCAGCAGCCGC
rnacentral:rRNA from 1 species